rnacentral:rRNA from 1 species
AUUGAACGCUGGCGGCAGGCCUAACACAUGCAAGUCGAGCGAGAAAGGUCUUCGGACUGAGUACAGCGGCGGACGGGUGAGUAAUGCGCAGGAAUCUACCUGGUAGUGGGGGAUAACUCGGGGAAACUCGAACUAAUACCGCAUACGCCCUACGGGGAAAGCGGGGACCUUCGGCCUCGCGCUAUCAGAUGAGCCUGCGUAGGAUUAGCUUGUUGGUGAGGUAAAGGCUCACCAAGGCGACGAUCCUUAGCUGGUCUGAGAGGAUGAUCAGCCACACUGGAACUGAGACACGGUCCAGACUCCUACGGGAGGCAGCAGUGGGGAAUAUUGCGCAAUGGGCGAAAGCCUGACGCAGCCAUGCCGCGUGUGUGAAGAAGGCCCUUGGGUUGUAAAGCACUUUCAAUUGGGAGAAAGGUUGCGUGUUAAUAGCACGUAGCUGUGACGUUACCUUUUAGAAGAAGCACCGGCUAACUCCGUGCCAGCAGCCGACGG